ensembl:snRNA U6 U6 spliceosomal RNA
GUUCUCCCUCCCACAGCACAUACACUAAAAUUGGAACAACGCAGAGAGAUUAGUUUGGCCCCUGCGUAGGGAUGACACGAAGAUUCAGGAAGCAGCACUAACUACA